AGCUCCAAUAGCGUAUAUUAAUGUUGUUGCGGUUAAAAAGCUCGUAGUUGGAUCUCGGCAGGUAGGGGGCGGUUCAUUAUUUGAUGUUUACUGCUCCAUUUACCUGUGUUUUUGACGGAGGUUCCAGGGUGCUCUUAACCGAGUGUCCUGGGAUGCCGCCAGGUUUACUUUGAAAAAAUUAGAGUGCUCAAAGCAGGCUUUACACGCUUGAAUAUUCGUGCAUGGAAUAAUAGAAUAGGACGUCGUUUCUAUUUUGUUGGUUUUCGGAAAUCGACGUAAUGAUUAAUAGGGACAGUCGGGGGCAUUAGUAUUCAGACGACAGAGGUGAAAUUCUUGGACCGUCUGAAGACUAACUACUGCGAAAGCAUUUGCCAAGAAUGUUUUCAUUAAUCAAGAACGA
rnacentral:rRNA from 1 species